UUUCACCACUUUGUGUGUCCAAGGACCACCUACUUUUUACAUGUGACAAGAACUACCCACCUCCACUCUUCAGGAUAGAACAUGCUGAAGAAAAGAGUUGCAAUGAGAAAAUAUAUGGGAACAAAAUACCUGUGCAAUGCAGAGGUCUGCAUAACUGAACCACUCAGAGGAAAAAAUGUUAACUACCCAUCUAUGGCAAAUUAAUUAUGCUCAUUGGAUUAUUUUACUUUUAUUCAAAUUUUGUUAUCUGGUACUUAUUAUAUGGAAUAUGCAAAUCGAAGUCCUGUCCUUCAGCAAUCAAUAAGAUUGCCAUUUCAGGACACCUCCUACAUCUGAAGAAAUAUGCAUUGAUCUUGCAGAACUUUUCUCCUCCAAAUAAAAGUCAGUAUGAUAACAACUACACUAUCAGAAGUCUAAGCCAAAGGACACUUCAGUUAUCCAAUCUUGCAACAAAUACAUUUAAGCACUUAAUAUGGGCUACUGUUGGUACUAGGGGCAUUGAGAACUUCAGAUUUGAUUAACACCCAAGAGCUGCUACCAUAAAAUAAACUAGGCAGCUACUAGGCAAUAAGAUGAGGCACAUGUGUAAAACUUCUGCUUUUAGCUUGGUGAAGAGUGGUUACACAGCCAUUAUUACAAAAAUUACAUUUUUCCACAAAUAAAGACAUCACUUUUCUAGA
rnacentral:lncRNA from 1 species